rnacentral:rRNA from 1 species
GUGGGGAAUCUUAGACAAUGGGGGAAACCCUGAUCUAGCCAUGCCGCGUGAGCGAUGAAGGCCUUAGGGUUGUAAAGCUCUUUCAGCUGGGAAGAUAAUGACGGUACCAGCAGAAGAAGCCCCGGCUAACUCCGUGCCAGCAGCCGCGGUAAUACGGAGGGGGCUAGCGUUGUUCGGAAUUACUGGGCGUAAAGCGCGCGUAGGCGGACCAGAAAGUUGGAGGUGAAAUCCCAGGGCUCAACCUUGGAACUGCCUUCAAAACUCCUGGUCUGGAGUUCGGGAGAGGUGAGUGGAAUUCCGAGUGUAGAGGUGAAAUUCGUAGAUAUUCGGAGGAACACCAGUGGCGAAGGCGGCUCACUGGCUCGAUACUGACGCUGAGGUGCGAAAGCGUGGGGAGCAAACAGGAUUAGAAACCCCAGUAGUCC